rnacentral:lncRNA from 1 species
ACUUCUUACAGAAGCCUGCAGCCGUUGACUUUAGGACCUAGAGGAGUAUUAAAAGACUGUGAGUAGCAUUAGACAAAAGGGGUACUAGGUAGAUCAUAUAUAAUUUCCUGUAGUAUUAAAAGAGGGUUCUUCUGUAAUACUUAAAUAAUUCAAGAUGUACGCAGUGGUAAAAUUGUACCUGAGCAAAAAAUAACUCAAUAUUGUAUUUUGAUUAUACGCUAAAAUAUUAAUCAGAGUAACAAUAAAUUCUUAACUAUGUUUCUAAGGUGUGUUUAAAACAUGAACAAGCUUGUCAAAAGCUCAACACUGUGCACAAUGCCAAGCUUUGAUACCCUAAGUAGUUUCAUUGACAUUAAAAGGGACAGUUCAUCUUCAGUUACACAGGUGUUCAAAUUGUUUUUGUUUCUUUUUUACAGAGUCUUAAGAGGAUAUAUCUUCAUUCAUUGAUGCUAAGUCUUAAUGGAAAAUAAACCCCUACUUUUAGCAAGUGCCAAAUGUUAUUGUUCAGAAAGCUGGAGUCUCCCUAAUGAGUAGUAUCUGAGCUUAAUCACUUGAUAAAUUGCAAGUGCUGUUUUUCUUCUAACGCCUUAACAAGUCUAUCAGUGUGGUUACCUCUUUUUAUCUUUAUUUCUAUAUUCUUCUGUCUUUGUUUCAGUUAUUAUAGUCUCAUUUGCACUCCCUCCCCUGACACCCUUUGAUAUACAAUUGUUACAAAUCAUGGUCAGUUUUGUAAAGUUCAGAAGGAUUUUUUUCCAUUAUACCACAGUUAAUACCUCAUUAGAAAUGUUAUUUCAGAUCCCUUGUGUUUGCAAAGGAUGACCUCAUUCAAUGCUAUGGAAAUGGUAGGAGCAGAGGGGACUUUUCAUCGUCAGACACCAGAAAGAGCAAGCCCAAAUUACAUCAUGACAUUGUACUGAUUAUAAUCAAAGAAAGCUGCAGUCAAUAUGUCAUGGGUCCCCAAAAGGAUGAAAAAUGUGUAUCUCAAACCUUCAAGGAGGUAGAGUUGCAAGUAGAGCAGUGAGUUUCCACAAGAUGAGUUUUAUCUGUUACACAGUGUUGAGAACAGAACCGUCUUCCACAGAACAUUGUGCUUGGGAAAAAAAAACCAACCAGGGAGAGCAGCAAUGGAACAUAAUUUUUGCAAACAGUGUAUAAGGUAUGACAUUUUGCAUUGUUUACUUUUUGUAAGAAGACAUGAGAUAUAUCUUGCUAGAAAGCGUAUAAGCUUUUAAAUGAUUUGAUGCCAGUUUGUUUAGG